GACGAACGCUGGCGGCGUGCUUAACACAUGCAAGUCGAACGGAAAGGCCCUGCUUUUGUGGGGUGCUCGAGGGGCGAACGGGUGAGUAACACGUGAGUAACCUGCCCUUGACUUUGGGAUAACUUCAGGAAACUGGGGCUAAUACCGGAUAGGAGCUCCUGCUGCAUGGUGGGGGUUGGAAAGUUUCGGCGGUUGGGGGUGGACUCGCGGCUUAUCAGCUUGUUGGUGGGGUAGUGGCUUACCAAGGCUUUGACGGGUAGCCGGCCUGAGCGGGUGACCGGCCACAUUGGGACUGAGAUACGGCCCAGACUCCUACGGGAGGCAGCAGUGGGGAAUAUUGCACAAUGGGCGGAAGGCUGAUGCAGCAACGCCGCGUGCGGGAUGACGGCCUUCGGGUUGUAAACCGCUUUCGCCUGUGACGAAGCGUGAGUGACGGUAAUGGGUAAAGAAGCACCGGCUAACUACGUG
rnacentral:rRNA from 1 species